GGGGAUGUAGCUCAGUUGGUAGAGUGCUUGCCUUGCAUGCACAAGGCCCUGGGUUCAAUCCCCAGCACCUA
rnacentral:tRNA from 1 species